UUCAAGUUCGAGCAGGAUCUCCUCGAUGUUCUGAGCAGAGUUCACACCUUCGAUAACUGGUCGAUUGUGUUGGAUAGGUGGACUGAGAAGCCACCAGAUGAUUUCUUGCAACAUCUGCUGGUGUGGGUUCAGAUGAGAAACAUUCCAGUAAACCACUAUACUCCUGGAACAAUAUCGCCGCUGUGAGAAUUCACUGGUGAGGUAGUUGACGUACCGUAUGAUCCUGAGAAAGCGCAGGUGAAGGAUUAUGUGCGAGUACUAGUUAAGUUUGAUGUAUCGAAGCCGCUGAGAAGAUCUAAAAAAUUAACAUUACCUGGUGGAGAGGUAGUUAACAUCUUGUAUGACUAUGAGAGACUAUAAAAGAGAUGUUAUACAUGUCAGCGUCUGACUCAUGAGCAAGCUUUGUGCCCUUGGUCUGCAAAAGGACCAAGAUCGGGUUUGUUGGGGUCUGCUUCGGCAGCAACAAGCAAGAUCACAGAAGUUUUACUCUCACUGGAGGAAAAUGAUCCGCUUUAUGGGGUCCUACCUUGCAAUCUUCUAGGGUUGGAUUCAGUCUCAGGUAAGCCUAAGAUUGCAAAGGAGGUCUUGGAAGGAAUGAGACAAUAUCUAUUAGCGGCUGAGGGUCAGGAGAAACUUGCAAGAGAAGACAGAGUGAGGAAAUCUUUGGAAGACUUAGUUAAUGACCCUUUGGGCCAGAAAGUCUAUCUGAGACAGGAGCAACCCUCAGUGGUGUCGUCUAAUCUCGAUAAAGGAAAGGGCGCAGUGUUUGAUUUUAGUCCUCAGACACAACGACCUCCAGAGCAAGGGAAACUUAUGGCGAAUGCUAUUUCGGCUGGCUCUAAAACCAUGCAAUCAGGGAAGGUCAUCUCUCUGCCCCAAACUUUAAAGAAGCCCACGGGUUCGACUCAAUCAGAGUAUCUUCUGGAAAGUUCAAUGGGUUAUAGUGUGGGUAUCUGUGAUACUAGCACUUCUGGGACUAUUCCUAAGAAACCCCGACAGAGAAAAAGGCCUGGAACAUAUACAAGAAAGGCAUCUGGAAAGAAGAUUGUUAAAGCGUUAACUGAAGGGACUGAGGUAGUUGGGGAAGGAGUAAUUUCUGAAGGAAAGAGGAAGGCACAUGAUGAUGUCGAGCCAUCUCAAAGCUCUGCAAGGUUUAAGAAACCAUUGGUGGUCCCGGAUGAGGGACCGUCCAAUAUCUAAAUGGCCGUGCAAAGGAUUUGGUGAUUCCUCGACUGCGGGAAAUUCGUAAAGAAAUCUUCCCGGAUAUUUUGUUUUUGAUGGAGACGAAGCACACUCGUGACGAUCUAGUGGACCUGCAAGCGUUGCUAGGCUAUGAUAGGAUAAUGACUGUAGAUCCUAUUGGGUACAGCGGUGGUCUUGCUUUGUUUUGGAAGAACUCAGUAAAUAUUUCUUUCAAGUUUGUAGAUAAGAACCUGGUGGAAUUUUAUGUACAGUUUGGUAAAGACUCCUUCUUUGUAUCUUGCGUCUAUGGAGAACCUGUCCAAGGAAAUAGAUCUGUGGUUUGGGAGAGGAUCUCUAGGAUUGGGGUGCAUAGAAAGGAGCCCUGGUGUAUGUUGGGCGACUUUAAUGAAAUUAGAAACAAUGGAGAAAAGAGCGGCGGGCCGAGAAGGAAUGAAGAAUCUUUCCAAGAUUUCAAUAACAUGCUUGAGAUUGGAAACAUGGUGGAGCUUCAAAGCAGUGGAAACAGCCUUACUUGGGGAGGCCGACGGGGGGAUCAUUGGAUACGUUCAAGGUUGGAUAGAUGUUUCGGUAAUAAAAACUGGUUUCAACUCUUUCCGACAUCUAACCAAGAAUUCCUAGACAUGAGAGGGUCAGACCACAGGCCAGUGUUGGUGAGAUUGAUCUCCUCUGUCAAACCCUUUAGAGGAAGCUUUCGCUUUGACUGAAGAUUUCUAAAUCAUCGAAGGGUGAAAGACGAGAUCAAGAAGGCAUUGUUAACGAAUCACCCACUUUUUGAAGUGAAGGUUUCAGAUAAACUGAAAAGAUGCAGGAAGGCUUUGAGUAGAUGGAAAAAGAAAGAGUCUCUAAAUUCCAGGGACAAGAUCAACCAGAUUCAACAAGCUUUGGAAGAACAACAGUCUGCUUGUUUCCCCUCUGCCCACAGAGUUAACUAUCUUAAGAGCGAGCUUAUCAGAGCAUACAAAGAGGAAGAUACGUAUUGGAAGCAAAAAAGCAAAGAUCGAUGGGCUGUCAAAGGGGAUUUGAACACAAAAUAGUACCAUGAAUCAGUCAAGUCGUCAAGGGCGAAGAACAAGAUUAUUAAACUGGUGGAUUGUAAUGGACAAGCUCACUUUUCUGGGGCAGCUAAAGCAGAAGUGGCAAAUGAUUAUUUCAGGAAUCUGUUCAAAUCGUCAGCUGCGGAGGACUUUAGUGAAAUCUUUGAAGGUUUUACUAGUAGAGUGACAGAUGGGAAGAAUGAAUUCCUGACCAGAGAGGUUACCGUGGAAGAGGUCAGAGAGGCUGUUUUUACUAUCAAACCAGGGAGCGCACCGGGACCAGACGGUAUGACGGGUUUGUUCUUCCAAAAGUAUUGGGAGAUAGUGGGAGCUCAGGUGACCAAGGAAGUGCAGCAGUUUUUCACGUCAGGAGUUUUUCCAGUGGAAUGGAAUUAUACCCAUCUCUGCCUGUUGCCGAAAAUUCUGGAUCCCACGCUGAUGACUGACUUAAGACCCAUCAGCCUUUGCUCGGUGUUGUACAAAAUCAUCUCAAAGAUCUUGGUAAGUAGACUGAAGCCCUUUCUCGCAGAUUUGGUUUCGCCUACACAGUCUGCAUUUGUAGAAGAAAGGCUUAUUACUGACAACAUACUUAUUGCCCACGAGAUGAUUCAUGCGUUGAAAACAAAUGAGAAAGUGGCUAAGGAAUUUAUUGCCAUCAAAUCGGAUAUGUCUAAAGCAUACGACAGAGUAGAAUGGGGAUGCUUGAGAGCUCUUCUUCUUGCCUUGGGUUUUGAUCCUGUUUGGACUGAGAGGGUUAUGUUUUGUGUAACAUCGGUUACCUACUCUACCCUAAUUAAUGAUGAACCGUUUGGGCGCAUUCAACCAGAGAGGGGUUUGCGUCAAGGCGAUCCCAUGUCUACAUUUCUGUUUGUUUUGUUCACUGAAGGUCUCAUUCAUAUGAUGGAACAAGCUGUGAGAGGAGGAAGACUUCAAGGCAUUCAGUUUUCAGAGAAUGGACCGAUGAUCCACCACAUGUUGUUUGCUGACAAUAGUUUGAUGAUCUGUAAGGCAUCGCUAGCUCAAGUCUCUGAAUUGCUGCAAAUUUUGCGGGUGUAUGAGAAAGCGACGGGCCAGACGGUUAACCUAGAUAAGUCUGCUAUCACUUUUGGGGCAAAGCUGGAUGAGAUUUCCAAACAAUUGUUGAGAGAUCUCACGGGGAUUGAGAAAGAAGGUGGUACGGGGUCUUACUUAGGGCUGCCUGAGUGCUUCAGCAGAUCAAAAACAGACAUGCUAGCUUAUAUAUAUGAUAAACUCAAGGACAGGUUGUCUUGUUGGUUCGUGAAGCUACUGUCGCAUGGAGGUAAGGAGGUCCUGAUCAAAGUAGUGGCUAUGGCAAUGCCGGUUUAUGCGAUGUCUUGCUUUAAACUGACCAAGAAAUCCUGUGAAAAUUUAACGAAGGCAAUGGCGGAUUUUUGGUGGAAUGCUCUGGAACACAAGAGGAAGAUUCACUGGCUCAGUUGGACGAAACUUUGUUUAGCCAAAAAACAGGGGGGUCUGGGCUUUAAAGACAUACAGAGGUUCAAUCAAUCUCUUCUGGCCAAGCAAGCGUGGAGAAUACUCAACAAUCCCGAAUCUCUCUUUGCUAGAGUCUUCAAAAGCAGAUACUUUGAGCAUGGUGAUUUCCUUUCUGCUAGUAAUGGUACUAGACCCUCUUACGGAUGGCGGAGUAUCCAGUUUGGCAAAGAGUUGCUUAAACAAGGUCUCAGGAAACAUGUUGGAAAUGGUAACUCUAUCUCGGUCUGGGUAGAUGCAUGGAUUGAAGGAGAUGUGCAGAGAAGGCCCUUGAUGAAGAACAUCUUUGUGGAUAUCAUGUUGAAAGUAAAAGAUCUUAUAGAUGUAAACAACAACUGCUGGAAGCUUGAAACUCUCAAGGAACUUUUCUCCGAGGAGGAUAUACAAAGAAUCCUUAAGAUGGAAGUGGUGGCGGACCAAGAGGAUUACUGGGUAUGGGUUCAUAACAGAAAUGGAAGCUAUUCGGUGAGGUCUGGGUAUUGGUUCAUCAGCAGACAAUCCAAUUGUGAUAUACACAGAGAAGUUGUGGCGAGACCUUCCUUAAACGAUCUCAAGUUGGAAGUUUGGAAGAUCAAAACCCCACCAAAAAUUAAAACAUUCAUGUGGAAGGCUCUAAGCAAUGCGAUCCCUGUGGGUGAACUGCUAGUGAAGAACGGAAUCAAGAUGGAUCCGUGUUGCCAAGCUUGUGGUUUUCAAGGUGAAUCCAUCAACCUCUCUUUGAUUGUGCCAUUACUAGACAGGUAUGGGCUCUAGCUUAUGUGCCUAAUCCGAUGAAUGGUUUUGAUAAGGUUUCCCACUUCUCUAACAUCCAUUAUCUCAUGAUGCUGAUGAAUAACAUGGAGGUUGAUGAGAAGGUUAGAAAUAUGAUCCCUUGGAUUGUGUGGUAUUUAUGGAAGACUAGAAAUGGGAUCAUCUUUGAAGGGAAGGCGGUCAUUGCACAGGAUGUGGUGGAGAAAAUUUCAGAGGAAGCAGAGUUCUGGUUGAUUGCACAAAAACAAGAAAGAGAGGAGGAAGAGGAGGAGAGAAAGGCGCGGGAGGCAGCUAGAAAAUGUUGGGAGCCGCCGCGAGCUGGAUGGAUAAAGUGCAACAUUGGAGUGGAUUUUGAUAAGAAGGUAUCAAAGAGUGGAGGAGCUUGGGUGGUGAGAAAUGAGAGAGGCAAAAUUCUCAUGCAUAGUAGACGGGUGUUUAUUAAUGUCAAAUCUCUGGAUGAAGCAAAAUACAAAGCUCUGCUGUGGUCUUUGGAGAGCUUAAGCUUUCAUCAUCUCAACAGAGUCAUUGUUGCAUUGGAUGAUGAUAAGCUCACAAAGGUGAUUCUCAGACCCAAAGCGUGGCCUAAUUUCAAAGCACAAUAUGUUGAGCUGGAGAAAAGAUUGAGAAGAGUGGAAUGGUGGAGAAUAGUAAAAGAAGAUAGAUCAACAAACAGAGGGUCUUUCCUCAUAGCUCAAAGUGCGGCGAAAGGUGGUUAUCUGCAAUCCUAUGUUGCGGCUGGUGGCCCCUUGUGGCUACGAGAAUUGUUUGAGAAUGAGGAAUUUUCGCCCUCUACUUAGUUGAUUAUUGUCAUGUGAUCGAUGACUAGUUUUUUGAAUCUUAUGUUAUGGCUAUGUACAAGUGUUUUAUAGUGGGGAAGGGUAGCUUUGUUUGGGUAGUUGGUCUGAUAAGUUUUUUGGAUAAGAGAGUUCCUUCUUGUGGCUGAUCUUCUGUAAGUGAAUGUUGGUCUUGAUGACCUUACAUUAAUAUACCAGAUGACACAAAAAAAAAAAAAGUAUGUCACUAGGGACAGGCAUCCCCAUCGAGAGAACUGUAUGCAUUAAGUUCAAACGAUACAAAUGAAAUAAGAACCAUUAAACUAUUAAAGCUAAACCAUCAAUAGUCUCCACUAAAAAAUAUUUCCUCUCUAUUUUUAAAUAAAUAUCACUACGACAUUUUUCACGCAUAUUAAAAAAAUAUAUAUAAUUAAGUUUCUAUUAAUUACAUAUCUUUGAUCAAUAAUAUUUGAGAUAAAUAAAAUUAUUUAUAAGAUCAAUGUAAUUUAUA
rnacentral:lncRNA from 1 species